UACGUAGGGGGCAAGCGUUGUCCGGAAUCAUUGGGCGUAAAGCGCGUGUAGGCGGCCAGAAAAGUCCGCUGUGAAAACUCGAGGCUCAACUUCGAGCUGUCGGUGGAAACUUUCUGGCUAGAGUCCGGAAGAGGAGAAUGGAAUUCCUGGUGUAGCGGUGAAAUGCGCAGAUAUCAGGAGGAACACCUGCGGUGUAGACGGCUUACUGGACCAUAACUGACGCUGAGGCACGAAAGCGUGGGUAGCAAACAGG
rnacentral:rRNA from 1 species